rnacentral:misc_RNA from 1 species
GAAAUGCGAUACUUGGUGUGAAUUGCAGAAUCCCACGUUGCGUCCGAAGCCAUUAGGUUGAGGGCACGUCUGCCUGGGCAUCUCACGUUGCGUCGCCCGCGCCCCCUCCCCCCCUCUACGAAGGGGGAAGAAGGGCUGCGGGUGGAUGUUGGCACCCCGCGAGCGCUCGCGUGCGGUCGGUCCAAAAGCGAGUCCCCCGUGACGGACGACGCGUCGCGAUGUGUGGUGGUUGACAAACCGUUGCGUCGCCUCGCGCGCGUCCAGUCCGUCUCGGGAGGCCUGUCGUGACCCUAUCGCGCCGCCGCCAAGGCGCUCCGAUCGCGACCCCAGGUCAGGCGGGAUUACCCGCUGAGUUUAA